rnacentral:lncRNA from 1 species
GAAUCACUCGGCCUCCUGGCCUUGGCUCCCCCACCAGGGGACGUCAUGCGGCCUGGUCAUCGGCCUUGACACAGGCGUGCGGUGUCUCUGGACGACUGCUGGCACCGCAGCCCGCGACAAAAUGGGGAAUGAGCAGGAGCUCCAAAGUCAGAGGCUUUCUGUUGUGGGAGAGGAGAGGAGGACAAGGCGUGAGCUGGUUCCUAAUUCCGUGUUUCGUCACAGCUGGAUGGUAUUUGAAGCAAGAAGGUUCUUUGGGAAACUUUAAGGUAUGAGCCUGGCAAAGGAGGAGGCUGGCCUCGGAAAAUAAGAGCAUGCCUAUUCCAGAAAACCAAGACAGUGCACUCAUCAUGUACCUUGCCGGCUCUCCGUGACCUGUGCAUAUGUGCGCACAUCCCCACAGCUCUUCAGCCUCCUCCCCUGGCGGUGGGUUUGGGUUCCUGCGUCCACGGCACCCCCUGCAGGAGACACUUACUGGAUAUCCAUACAGGGAGAUGGCUAUUUUGUUUUGUUUGUUUUUAUUGAAGUUCAAUUUGCCAACAUAUAGUAUAAUAGCCAGUGCUCAUCCCAUCAAGUCAAGUGGCUUCUCUUUGGGAGAAAUGUGAACCUGAUUCUGGAUCAUCCAUCAGUGGACCAAAAUUAUAAGGUACUCAGUGUAAGAGGUUUUACAUUUAUAUUUGAGAUACAGAAACUAUAAAUGAAAGAAAGUCAAAAUUUUGCCUAUUUUUUGUCUUUAUUUGCAUUAACGACUUAAUGGGAAAUUAGUACUGACCGUCGUCCUUUCUGCUUAUUAACAGAGUGUUUAAGCCAGUGAUAAAGCACUAGGUGCUGCUGUCUGUUUUCCAGAAACUAGUCCUUACAGUGUUGGGUGCGGAGUAUCCGUAAGCCUCCUCGGCGGAACCCCAAACAGUGCUCCCUGUGGACAUGGUAAAAUGUUCUGGUUGAUGACCUGCUCUCAGACGCUACCAAACCUCUAGCGGGAUGUGGUUCCCAGUCAGCCUUUCUCCAUGAAACGUCCUGGAGUUUUAGAAUUAAGAAAAUGUCUUAAAAUGCAUUAAUACUAAAUAUAAUAAAGAGAUUUAUGACUAUUUCUGAAGCCCUACUUAAGUAAUGUAGGAGCCAAGUCAGGGUUUUGAUAGAAUGCAACAUUCUUGGAAAACUUAGAGACCUGCCGGAUUAUAAAUUUACAAUUUCCUUCCUUACUGCGCUGAGGAAAAAUACAUUAAUUGAUGAAAAGUUUUGUGCAGCUUCUUUUAUUUCUAUCACGCUACGCGUAUCGGUUGUGUAAUUAUAAACCUGCCUUUCUUUGGGUCUCCUUGGGGUAAUUGCCAAAAACCUAAUAAAGUUUGGGGAGCCCGGAAAAUUGCCCAGCCGAAUAGAAAUACCAUUUCAGGGAAACAGCUAACACAGUAAAAUCUCCUUCUUUUAUAAGUUAAUACUCUUCCUUUUUUUUGCUUCCUGUCUUAGUUUCACACAUUUUGCCUUAGCAGUUACUCUCAUUUUGAAAACAUCCCUUUCUCAGUGGCUUGGCCCUGACCAACCCAGGUGGGAAAAUUUUUUGCUUUUAAAUAUCUUGUUACACCAACAGUUCUUUUCCCCUUAGCAAUAAUUUUCAUCUUCAAACUCAUUUUGGGCGUCGGAGUGAUUCCCAGUAAGGGAUCCCCAAACACCUAGAGGUCCUGAAGGUAGUAAUGGGAGUCUAUAUAUUUUACAUAUUUCAAAAAGCCUAAUGGAAAUCACAUAUUUACUCAGAAUAAGGCUGCAGAAGAAAUCAGUAAAAUGUCUUUGAUUUGGUUAGA